UACGUAGGGUGCAAGCGUUACUCGGAAUUACUGGGCGUAAAGCGUGCGCAGGCGGUUAUGCAAGUCAGAUGUGAAAUCCCCGGGCUCAACCUGGGAACUGCAUUUGUGACUGCAUGGCUAGAGUGCGGCAGAGGGGGAUGGAAUUCCGCGUGUAGCAGUGAAAUGCGUAGAUAUGCGGAGGAACACCGAUGGCGAAGGCAAUCCCCUGGGCCUGCACUGACGCUCAUGCACGAAAGCGUGGGGAGCAAACAGG
rnacentral:rRNA from 1 species